rnacentral:rRNA from 1 species
CGGGGUGCCCAGGCGCGAAAACUUUGCAAUAAGCGAAAGCUUGACAGGGCUAUCCCGAGUGCCAUCCGCUGAGGAAGGCUUUUACCCAGUCUAGAACGCUGGGGGAAUAAGGAGAGGGCAAGUCUGGUGUCAGCCGCCGCGGUAAUACCAGCUCUCCGAGUGGUGUGGAUGUUUAUUGGGCCUAAAGCAUCCGUAGCUGGCUAGGUUAGUCCCCUGUUAAAUCCACCGAAUUAAUCGUUGGUCUGCGGGGGAUACUGCUCGGCUAGGGGACGAGAGAGGCAGACGGUAUUCCCGGGGUAGGGGUGAAAUCCUAUAAUCCCGAGAAGACCACCAGUGGCGAAGGCUGUCUGCUAGAACGCGCCCGACGGUGAGGGAUGAAAGCUGGGGGAGCGAACCGGAUUAGAUACCCGGGUAGUCCCAGCUGUAAACGAUGCAGACUAGGUGUUUGGACGGCCACGUGCCGUUCUAGUGCCGCAGGGAAGCUGUUAAGUCUGCCGCCUGGGGAGUACGGCCGCAAGGCUGAAACUUAAAGGAAUUGGCGGGGGAGCAC